UUUUGCCUACGGGGGGCAGCAGUGAGGAAUAUUGGUCAAUGGCCGAGAGGCUGAACCAGCCACGUCGCGUGAGGGAAGACGGCCCUACGGGUUGUAAACCUCUUUUGUCGGGGAGCAAAGAGAGUCACGUGUGACUCAUUGAGAGUACCCGAAGAAAAAGCAUCGGCUAACUCCGUGCCAGCAGCCGCGUUAAUACGGAGGAUGCGAGCGUUAUCCGGAUUUAUUGGGUUUAAAGGGUGCGCAGGCGUAGGUGCAAGUCAGCGGUCAAAUUGCGGGGUUCAACCCCGUACUGCCGUUGCAACUGC
rnacentral:rRNA from 1 species